rnacentral:rRNA from 1 species
AACGAACGCUGGCGGCAGGCCUAACACAUGCAAGUCGAACGACAUAGUGGCAGACGGGUGAGUAACGCGUGGGAACGUGCCUUUCACUACGGAAUAGCUCUUGGAAACGAGUGGUAAUACCGUAUACGCCCUCCGGGGGAAAGAUUUAUCGGUGAAAGAUUGGCCCGCGUUAGAUUAGCUUGUUGGUGAGGUAAUGGCUCACCAAGGCGACGAUCUAUAGCUGGUCUGAGAGGAUGAUCAGCCACACUGGGACUGAGACACGGCCCAG